CUUUACUAUAGCCUGGAAUUGUGUUCGGGCUUUUCUUGCGCAGCCUAGGUGGGAGGCUAUGAAGAUUUCCUUCCGGGGAGGUUGGAGCCAUCAGUGAGAGACCACUCUGGAGAGGCUAGAAUCCUAAUGGCGAUCCUUGAAUCAGGACACUUGACAGUUUCAGGUGGGCAGUUUUUCUGGGGCGGAAGCCUCAUAAAGGGUAACUGAGGCGCGCAAAGGUCCCCUCAGUCUGGACGGAAAUCAGACAACGAGUGUAAAGGCAAAAGGGGGCUUGACUGCAAGACCUACAAGUCGAGCAGGAGCGAAAGCUGGCCUUAGUGAUCCGACGGUACCGUGUGGAAGGGCCGUCGCUCAACGAAUAAAAGUUA
rnacentral:rRNA from 1 species